rnacentral:rRNA from 1 species
GGCGAAGGGGCUAGCGUUGUUCGGAAUUACUGGGCGUAAAGCGUGUGUAGGUGGUUGUCAUAGUCAGGCGUGAAAGCCUUGAGCUCAACUCAAGAAAUGCGCUUGAUACUGGGCAGCUAGAGGACCGGAGAGGAUAGUGGAAUUCCCAGUGUAGUGGUGAAAUACGUAGAGAUUGGGAAGAACACCAGUGGCGAAGGCGGCUAUCUGGACGGUUUCUGACACUAAGACACGGAAAGCGUGGGGAGCAAACAGG